rnacentral:lncRNA from 1 species
UUAGUCUCCGAAUACAAUUCAUCAUAUUAGUCUCCGAAUUUAAAAUACCGAACAAAGUUAGAACAUUACAAGUCUCGAGACCGCGAGUAGCGAGUUUGUCUUCACAUUACAAGUCGAUAUCGAUCAUCUAAACUACCAUCACAUAGAAGAGAGCUGUGGGCAUCACUACCAUCUGUGCGCGCGCUGCCAUCAUCAGUGGUGGCAUCCUCGGCGGCACCAUCAGUGGUGUCAUCCCCGACGUCACUAGGGGUUGUGUAGUCGGGAUCGGUGUCUUCCGCGGC